rnacentral:rRNA from 1 species
ACGGAAGGCAGCAGGGGGAAUAUUGCACAAUGGGCGCAAGCCUGAUGCAGCCAUGCCGCGUGUAUGAAGAAGGCCUUCGGGUUGUAAAGUACUUUCAGUCGUGAGGAAGGUGUUAAGGUUAAUAACCUUAGCAAUUGACGUUAGCGACAGAAGAAGCACCGGCUAACUCCGUGCCAGCAGCCGCGGUAAUACGGAGGGUGCGAGCGUUAAUCGGAAUUACUGGGCGUAAAGGGCACGCAGGCGGUUAAUUAAGUUGGAUGUGAAAUCCCCGGGCUUAACCUGGGAAUGGCAUUCAAGACUGGUUAGCUAGAGUCUUGUAGAGGGGGUAGAAUUCCAUGUGUAGCGGUGAAAUGCGUAGAGAUGUGGAGGAAUACCGGUGGCGAAGGCGGCCCCUGGACAAAGACUGACGCUCAUGUGCGAAAGCGUGGGGAGCAAACAGGGAUUAGAUACC